GAUGAAGAACGUAGCGAAAUGCGAUAAGUAGUGUGAAUUGCAGAAUUCAGUGAAUCAUCGAAUCUUUGAACGCACAUUGCGCCCCCUGGUAUUCCGGGGGGCAUGCCUGUCCGAGCGUCAUUGCUGCCCUCAAGCACGGCUUGUGUGUUGGGCCCCGUCCUCCGAUCCCGGGGGACGGGCCCGAAAGGCAGCGGCGGCACCGCGUCCGGUCCUCGAGCGUAUGGGGCUUUGUCACCCGCUCUGUAGGCCCGGCCGGCGCUUGCCGAUCAACCCAAAUUUUUAUCCAGGUUGACCUCGGAUCAGGUAGGGAUACCUGCUGAACUUAAGCAUAUCAAUAAGCGGAGGA
rnacentral:misc_RNA from 1 species